CAACUACUCCCUCUGUCCCAAAUUUCUUGUCUUAGAUUUGUCUAGAUACGGAUGUAUCUGUGACUUGAUACAUCCGUAUCUAGACAAAUCUAAGACAGGAAUUUUGGGACGGAGGGAGUACUUU
rnacentral:pre_miRNA from 1 species